rnacentral:rRNA from 1 species
CCUACGGGCGGCAGCAGUGGGGAAUAUUGCACAAUGGGGGAAACCCUGAUGCAGCGACGCCGCGUGAGUGAAGAAGUAAUUCGUUAUGUACAGCUCUAUCAGCAGGGAAGAAAAUGACGGUACCUGAGUAAGAAGCCCCGGCUAACUACGUGCCAGCAGCCGCGGUAAUACGUAGGGGGCAAGCGUUAUCCGGAUUUACUGGGUGUAAAGGGAGCGUAGACGGCAGUGCAAGUCUGGAGUGAAAGGCGGGGGCUCAACCCCCGGACUGCUCUGGAAACUGUACGGCUUGAGUGCAGGAGAGGUAAGUGGAAUUCCUAGUGUAGCGGUGAAAUGCGUAGAUAUUAGGAGGAACACCAGUGGCGAAGGCGGCUUACUGGACUGUAACUGACGUUGAGGCUCGAAAGCGUGGGGAGCAAACAGGAUUAGAUACCCCUGUAGUC